AGGUCUGCAUGUCUAGUAUAAGCAUUUAUACGGUGAAACUGCGAAUGGCUCAUUAAAUCAGUUAUCGUUUAUUUGAUAGUACCUUACUACAUGGAUACCUGUGGUAAUUCUAGAGCUAAUACAUGCUAAAAACCUCGACUUCGGAAGGGGUGUAUUUAUUAGAUAAAAAACCAAUGCCCUUCGGGGCUCCUUGGUGAAUCAUAAUAACUUAACGAAUCGCAUGGCCUUGCGCCGGCGAUGGUUCAUUCAAAUUUCUGCCCUAUCAACUUUCGAUGGUAGGAUAGUGGCCUACCAUGGUGGCAACGGGUAACGGGGAAUUAGGGUUCGAUUCCGGAGAGGGAGCCUGAGAAACGGCUACCACAUCCAAGGAAGGCAGCAGGCGCGCAAAUUACCCAAUCCCGACACGGGGAGGUAGUGACAAUAAAUACUGAUACGGGGCUCUUUUGGGUCUCGUAAUUGGAAUGAGUACAAUCUAAAUCCCUUAACGAGGAACAAUUGGAGGGCAAGUCUGGUGCCAGCAGCCGCGGUAAUUCCAGCUCCAAUAGCGUAUAUUAAAGUUGUUGCAGUUAAAAAGCUCGUAGUUGAACCUUGGGUCUGGCUGGCCGGUCCGCCUCACCGCGAGUACUGGUCCGGCUGGACCUUUCCUUCUGGGGAACCUCAUGGCCUUCACUGGCUGUGGGGGGAACCAGGACUUUUACUGUGAAAAAAUUAGAGUGUUCAAAGCAGGCCUUUGCUCGAAUACAUUAGCAUGGAAUAAUAGAAUAGGACGUGCGGUUCUAUUUUGUUGGUUUCUAGGACCGCCGUAAUGAUUAAUAGGGAUAGUCGGGGGCGUCAGUAUUCAGCUGUCAGAGGUGAAAUUCUUGGAUUUGCUGAAGACUAACUACUGCGAAAGCAUUCGCCAAGGAUGUUUUCAUUAAUCAGGGAACGAAAGUUAGGGGAUCGAAGACGAUCAGAUACCGUCGUAGUCUUAACCAUAAACUAUGCCGACUAGGGAUCGGGCGGUGUUUCUAUGAUGACCCGCUCGGCACUUACAAGAAUCAAAGUUUUUGGGUCCUGGGGGGAGUAUGGUCGCAAGGUGAAACUUAAGAAAUUGACGGAAGGGCCCACAAGGCGUGGAGCCGGGGGUUAUUUUAUCCACCCGGGGAAAUCCCCGGCCGAAAAAAAAAGAUGGACGAAUGGAAGCCUUCUUAUUUUUGUAAGGGGGGCGGGCGCCCUCUUUUGGGGGGGGAUGUUGUUGUCUUGUUAAUAAAAGAAAACCGCCCUUAAAAACAGGCGCCUUUUGGGCGGGGGUUUUUUGGGGAAAGGCCCCCCCCAAAAGGGGGGAAAAAAGUUUGGUUUUUUAUUUUUGCCCCCCCCCCAGGC
rnacentral:rRNA from 1 species